rnacentral:rRNA from 1 species
CCUACGGGUUGCAGCAGUGGGGAAUAUUGCACAAUGGGCGCAAGCCUGAUGCAGCCAUGCCGCGUGUGUGAAGAAGGCCUUCGGGUUGUAAAGCACUUUCAGCGGGGAGGAAGGCGUUAAGGUUAAUAACCUUGGCGAUUGACGUUACCCGCAGAAGAAGCACCGGCUAACUCCGUGCCAGCAGCCGCGGUAAUACGGAGGGUGCAAGCGUUAAUCGGAAUUACUGGGCGUAAAGCGCACGCAGGCGGUCUGUCAAGUCGGAUGUGGAAUCCCCGGGCUUAACCUCGGAAUUGCAUUUGAAACUGGCAGGCUAGAGUCUUGUAGAGGGGGGUAGAAUUUCAGGUGUAGCGGUGAAAUGCGUAGAGAUCUGAAGGAAUACCAGUGGCGAAGGCGGCCCCCUGGACAAAGACUGACGCUCAGAUGCGAAAGCGUGGGGAGCAAACAGGAUUAGAUACCCGCGUAGUC